rnacentral:lncRNA from 1 species
CCCCCACCCUGUUCAAUUUGAGAAUAUACUAUUAUCUUGUAAACGGUCCAGAUUCCCACCCCUAAACCAUAUAUAUUCUUCAAUGGGACGAUAAAACAAAUUAAAUGAAAUUAAAGGGAAGUCCCCGGGGGGUCAUCCCCACCACGUUCAAUUUGAGAAUGUGCUAUUAUCUUGUAAACAGUCCAGAUCCCCACCCCUAAACCAUAUAUAUUCUUGUAGGGGACAAUAAAACAAAUGAAAUGAAAUAAAAGUGAUGUCCCUAGGGGCUCACCCCACGCCCUCUUGUUUGAAAACUUGUAAACGGUCAACAUCCCCACCCCUAAACCAUAUCUAUUCUUGUAUGGGACAAUAAAACUAAUCAAAUGAAAUUAAAGGGAAGUUCCUGGGGGUUGCACCCCCCUCCCCCACCCUGUUCAAUUUGAGAAUGUGCUAUUAUCUUGUAAAUGGUCCAGAUCCCCACCCCUAAACCAUAUAUAUUCUUGUAGGGGACAAUAAAACAAAUGAAAUGAAAUAAAAGGGAAGUCCCGAGGAG